rnacentral:rRNA from 1 species
UACGUAGGGUGCGAGCGUUGCCCGGAUUUAUUGGGCGUAAAGGGCGCGUAGGCGGCCACGCACGUCCGUUGUGAAAUCGCCCGGCUCAACUGGGCGGGGUCAGCGGAUACGGUGUGGCUCGAGCAAGCUAGGGGGCAAUGGAAUUCCCGGUGUAGUGGUGGAAUGCGUAGAUAUGACAUAGAACAUCGAUUGCGAAGGCAGCUCGCUACGCUAUUAUUGACACUGAGGCACGAAAGCGUGGGGAUCAAACAGG